rnacentral:SRP_RNA from 1 species
CGUCGGUUCUCCCGCGACGAUAACCAGCAAACCCGGUCAGGCCCGGAAGGGAGCAGCCGUAGUUGGUGAUUCGGGUGCCGGGAUGCAGCUGGCGGAG